ensembl:lncRNA
CCCCCCGCAGACAUCUGUUUCUCAUUAAGCCUUGAUGAAUCUUAAUCAUUGUGGGACGUGCGAUUGGAUGUCCGUACUUCGUUUUAUCUAUAAAAAUCUUGCAUUUGAAUGUCCUCCUGGGUGAAGGUCAGUGGACCAGGUGGAUGUUUGGCACAACCCGACCAAUGAAGCAGGAGAUUUUGAGCAGCUCUGCAGCUUGCAGAGUGGAGGAGUGGGGCCUUCAGCUGAAAUUGGCAAGCUCUGCAGAUUCUCAUCACUGGGCAAGAGACUGGCGCUGUUCCGCAGUCAGCUUUGAAGAUCUCUCCUCAUCGCUGAAGACCACAAGGUUACACCCGUGGCAGAGGCCUAUCAGUCAAUCUGCAAUAAUAGAAUAAUUGUGUAAUUAACAGAGAGCAAAAUUGCCCCAGGCAUGAGUGCUCAGUCUCCACCAUUAAAGGAGAUCAUAGGGCCAUAAUUAGGUCCUCAUCGGCCACUAAUUGUCCCGCCGUUAUGGCACUGGGGUGUUUCUGUUAUUUAUAAUGAGGGUGCACACACCCACAGAGCGGGGUCACACUCCAGCACACUCGGGGGUCUGUUUUGGAGAAGGCCCACUGUGUGUGUUUGUGAUGGAUAGUGAGAGAAUGAGAGGGGAAGAGAGAAUGAAAACUAAAAUAUUAAAGCAAUAAGCUACGAACAAACGAAACUGGCCACAUUUUGUCUGAAAUGUAAGUUACUCAAUAUUAUUCCUUUUUUUUAUUGUUAUUACUACUUCACUACUACUACUACUACAGGUUUGCAAGCAAAAUCAGAACUAACCAUUUCAACCCAGGCGACAUUGCUGCAAAAUUAUAUAACCUUACAUCUUGCAUGUUUCACAACACUUUCCAAGUGAAAUGUCCAGUUAGUGGUGCUAAAAGCAUGUUCUGUUUUAUCCAAAACAGAUGAAGACAAAUCUGGCAACAUUUAGUUGUACGCAUUGCAGCAGCUCCAAAAUAAAAUGUGUGGUGAAUGGCA